rnacentral:tmRNA from 1 species
GGGGAUGUAAUUGGUAUCGACAGUUAUUGGAAUAUUUUUAAGGCAGUGGUCUUGUAAACCAUAAUACUUUCUAGGCUUUUAAAUGCAAACUUAGAAAAAAAAGAAAAAGAAUUCUUCAUGACAAACGUUAUGAUGAAUCAAUUAAACCCAGCUUUUGCUUAAUUAAAAACUGGUCGAAUUUCUAUAAUGGCCCAUUAUAGAAAAUUUGCAAUUAGGGCUAUAUCUUAGUGAAGUUCAGUUGCUAACUAAGUGAGACUAAAAACUGAAACUUAUUGAUCUUUUUUGUUAGUUUUAGAUGAAUAAGUUACUAAAAAAAACUAAAUAAACUGUAGAUUUAAAAAUAUAAAGAUAGCUGGACCGGGGUUCAAAUCCCCGCAUCUCCACCA